rnacentral:rRNA from 1 species
CCUACGGGGGGCAGCAGUGGGGAAUAUUGCACAAUGGGCGCAAGCCUGAUGCAGCCAUGCCGCGUGUGUGAAGAAGGCCUUCGGGUUGUAAAGCACUUUCAGCUGGGAGGAAGGCGGUGAGGUUAAUAACCUCAUCGAUUGACGUUACCCGCAGAAGAAGCACCGGCUAACUCCGUGCCAGCAGCCGCGGUAAUACGGAGGGUGCAAGCGUUAAUCGGAAUUACUGGGCGUAAAGCGCACGCAGGCGGUCUGUCAAGUCGGAUGUGAAAUCCCCGGGCUCAACCUGGGAACUGCAUUCGAAACUGGCAGGCUAGAGUCUUGUAGAGGGGGGUAGAAUUCCAGGUGUAGCGGUGAAAUGCGUAGAGAUCUGGAGGAAUACCGGUGGCGAAGGCGGCCCCCUGGACAAAGACUGACGCUCAGGUGCGAAAGCGUGGGGAGCAAACAGGAUUAGAUACCCUAGUAGUC